AUUCCAGCUCCAAUAGCGUAUGUUAAAGUUGUUGCGGCUAAAAAGCUCGUAGUUGGAUUUCUGUUGAGGACGGCUGGUCCGCUCUAUGAGCGUGCAUCUAGUUUGGCCUCGGCAUCCGCUCUGCAUACGUUCUGCGCUUGAUUGCGUGGUUCGGAGGUAGGGCCUUUUACUUUGAGGAAAUUAGAGUGUUCACGGCAGGCAAUCGCCUUGAAUAUAUUAGCAUGGAAUAAUAACAUAGGAUCUUGGUUCUAUUUUGUUGGUUUCUAGGGCUAAGAUAAUGAUUAAUAGGGACAAUUGGGGGCAUUCGUAUCGCGGUGUCAGAGGUGGAAUUCUUGGAUUACUGCGCGACGAACUACUGCGAAAGCAUUUGCCAAGGAUGUUUUCAUUA
rnacentral:rRNA from 1 species